GACGAACGCUGGCGGCAUGCUUAACACAUGCAAGUCGAACGGAGAGGCCCUGCUUUUGUGGGGUGCUCGAGUGGCGAACGGGUGAGUAACACGUGAGUAACCUGCCCUUGACUUUGGGAUAACUUCAGGAAACUGGGGCUAAUACCGGAUAGGAGCUCCUGCUGCAUGGUGGGGGUUGGAAAGUUUCGGCGGUUGGGGAUGGACUCGCGGCUUAUCAGCUUGUUGGUGGGGUAGUGGCUUACCAAGGCUUUGACGGGUAGCCGGCCUGAGAGGGUGACCGGCCACAUUGGGACUGAGAUACGGCCCAGACUCCUACGGGAGGCAGCAGUGGGGAAUAUUGCACAAUGGGCGGAAGCCUGAUGCAGCAGCGCCGCGUGCGGGAUGACGGCCUUCGGGUUGUAAACCGCUUUCGCCUGUGACGAAGCGUGAGUGACGGUAAUGGGUAAAGAAGCACCGGCUAACUACGUG
rnacentral:rRNA from 1 species